rnacentral:rRNA from 1 species
AGAGUUUGAUCCUGGCUCAGAACGAACGCUGGCGGCAGGCCUAACACAUGCAAGUCGAGCGAGGGGUAACCCUAGCGGCGGACGGGUGAGUAACGCGUGGGAACGUGCCCUUUGCUACGGAAUAGCCCCUGGAAACGGGGAGUAAUGCCGUAUGAGCCCUUAGGGGGAAAGAUUUAUCGGCAAAGGAUCGGCCCGCGUUGGAUUAGGUAGUUGGUGGGGUAAUGGCCUACCAAGCCGACGAUCCAUAGCUGGUUUGAGAGGAUGAUCAGCCACACUGGGACUGAGACACGGCCCAGACUCCUACGGGAGGCAGCAGUGGGGAAUCUUAGACAAUGGGCGCAAGCCUGAUCUAGCCAUGCCGCGUGAGCGAUGAAGGCCUUAGGGUUGUAAAGCUCUUUCAGGGGGGAAGAUAAUGACUGUACCCCCAGAAGAAGCCCCGGCUAACUCCGUGCCAGCAGCCGCGGUAAUACGGAGGGGGCUAGCGUUGUUCGGAAUUACUGGGCGUAAAGCGCACGUAGGCGGACUGGAAAGUCAGGGGUGAAAUCCCGGGG